rnacentral:rRNA from 1 species
CAAGUCGAACGAUGAAACCGCCCUCGGGCGGACAUGAAGUGGCGAACGGGUGAGUAACACGUGACCAACCUGCCCCCCUCCUCCGGGACAACCUUGGGAAACCGAGGCUAAUACCGGAUACUCCUCGCCCCCCUCCCUGGGGGGGCCCGGGGAAAGCCCAGACGGCAAGGGAUGGGGUCGCGGCCCAUUAGGUAGUAGGCGGGGUAACGGCCCACCUAGCCCGCGAUGGGUAGCCGGGUUGAGAGACCGACCGGCCACAUUGGGACUGAGAUACGGCCCAGACUCCUACGGGAGGCAGCAUG